rnacentral:rRNA from 1 species
UGGGGAAUAUUGCACAAUGGGCGAAAGCCUGAUGCAGCAACGCCGCGUGAGUGAUGAAGGCCUUCGGGCUGUAAAGCUCUGUCUUUUGGGACGAUAAUGACGGUACCAAAGGAGGAAGCCACGGCUAACUACGUGCCAGCAGCCGCGGUAAUACGUAGGUGGCAAGCGUUGUCCGGAUUUACUGGGCGUAAAGGAUGCGUAGGCGGAUUUUUAAGUGAGAUGUGAAAUACCCGGGCUUAACUUGGGUGCUGCAUUUCAAACUGGGAAUCUAGAGUGCGGGAGAGGAGAAUGGAAUUCCUAGUGUAGCGGUGAAAUGCGUAGAGAUUAGGAAGAACACCAGUGGCGAAGGCGAUUCUCUGGACCGUAACUGACGCUGAGGCAUGAAAGCGUGGGUAGCAAACAGGAUUAGAUACCCUGGUAGUCCACGCCGUAAACGAUGAGUACUAGGUGUAGGAGGUAUCGACCCCUUCUGUGCCGCAGUUAACACAAUCAAGUACUCCGCCUGGGAAGUACGAUCGCAAGAUUAAAACUCAAAGGAAUUGACGGGGUC